GAAUAUUGGACAAUGGGCGGAAGCCUGAUCCAGCCAUGCCGCGUGUGUGAAGAAGGCCUUUUGGUUGUAAAGCACUUUAAGCGAGGAGGAGGAGCUCUUGGUUAAUACCCAAGAUGCUUGGACGUUACUCGCAGAAUAAGCACCGGCUAACUCUGUGCCAGCAGCCGCGGUAAUACAGAGGGUGCAAGCGGUAAUCGGAUUUACUGGGGGGAAAGCGGGCGUAGGUGGCCAAAUAAAGCAAAUGUGAAAUUCCCGAGCUUAACUUGGGAAUUGCCAUCGAUACUGGUUGGCUAGAGGAUGGGAGAGGGUGGGAGAAUUCCAGGUGUAGCGGUGAAAAGCCUAGAGAUCUGGAGGAAUACCGAUGGCGAAGGCAGCCAUCUGGGCUAAUACUGACAAUGAGGUGCGAAAGCAUGGGGAGCAAACA
rnacentral:rRNA from 1 species